rnacentral:rRNA from 1 species
AUGCUCCGCCUCCGAGAGCGCAUCGUUUUCCAUCUCCUCUCUUUCUCCUCCACCUCCACCUCCACCUCCGCCCCGGCCACCCUCCCACUCCGCCGCCUCCUCUCCGCCGUCGCGGCCCCCAUUCCCCCGAGCCGAGGAUUCGCCGUUGAGGAUUACCUCGUCGACACCUGCGGCCUCACCCGAGCCCAGGCACUCAAGGCCUCCACGAAGCUCUCCCACCUCAAAUCCCCGGACAAACCCAACGCCGUCCUCGCCUUCCUCUCCGGCCUCGGCCUCACUGGCGUCGAUGCCGCCGCCGUCGUCGCCAAAGAUCCGCUCUUCCUCUGCGCCGGCGUGGAGACAACCCUGGUCCCCGUCGUCAACGGACUCGAGGGCCUCGGUCUGUUGCGUCCUGGGAUCGCCCGCCUCGUGUCGCUCGCCUACAUCAACUUCCGCUGCAGAUCCAUCGUCUCCAAGAUGCAGUACUACCUGCCCCUCUUUGGCUCCUUCGACAACUUCUUCCGCGCGCUCCAGCGCUCAUCCUACCUUCUCUCGUCGGACCUGGACAAGGUUAUCAAGCCCAAUGUCGUGUUCCUGCGGGAGUGCGGGCUAGAUGAUUGCGAUAUUGGCAAGCUGUGUGUCCGAGUGCCGAGGAUGCUGACCACCAACCCGGGGCGCGUCCGGGCAAUGGGGGCAUAUGCUGAAAGAUUAGGCAUGCCCCGGGGUUCUGGGAUGUACAGAAUUGCGCUACAUGCCGUCUCAUUCCUCACCGAGGAGAAGAUCACUGCUAAAGUGGACUACCUGAAGAAGACGUUCAGCUGGUCGGAUGCUGAGGUUGUCAUGGCUUUGUCUAAAGCUCCAAUGCUGCUGAAGAGGUCAAAGGACAUCCUGUGGCGCAGGUUCGAGUUCCUUGUCUCUGAGGUGGGUUUGGAACCGGCAUACAUUGCUCGUCGGCCGGUAAUGCUCUAUUAUAGCCUUGAUAAUCGGCUCAAGCCCCGGUGCUAUGUUCUAAAGUUCCUCAAGGAAAAUGGAUUGGUAGAUCGUGACCUGAGCUUCUCUAGUGCACUCUCAAUUCAGGAGAAGUACUUCAUGGAGAAGUACAUACGCCCUCACAACGAAGCUGCGCCACACCUCGCCGAUGACUAUGCAGCAGCUUGCAAAGGGGAGGUGCCAGCUAGUUUCAGAUUUACUUGA